rnacentral:rRNA from 1 species
AGAGUUUGAUCAUGGCUCAGAACGAACGCUGGCGGCAGGCCUAACACAUGCAAGUCGAACGCUCCAGCAAUGGAGAGUGGCAGACGGGUGAGUAACACGUGGGAACCUUCCCUAUGGUUCGGAAUAGCCCAGGGAAACUUGGGGUAAUACCGGAUAAGCCCUUCGGGGGAAAGAUUUAUCGCCAUUGGAUGGGCCCGCGUCGGAUUAGCUAGUUGGUGAGGUAACGGCUCACCAAGGCAACGAUCCGUAGCUGGUCUGAGAGGAUGAUCAGCCACACUGGGACUGAGACACGGCCCAGACUCCUACGGGAGGCAGCAGUGGGGAAUAUUGGACAAUGGGCGCAAGCCUGAUCCAGCCAUGCCGCGUGAGUGACGAAGGUCUUCGGAUUGUAAAACUCUUUUGGCGGGGACGAUAAUGACGGUACCCGCAGAAUAG